ACAAACAACAAACAACCCCUCAAGCUUCUGCUUGUGUCACAAUGGCUAGCAUUCUAUCAGCCAAAGCAAGUUCCAUGUCGAGGCCCAAAAUUAAAGCUGCAUUUUUCAAGCCACUGUCUGGAGGGGUUUGGAUCUAGACUGGCUGCAGGCAAUGGUCCAGUUCAUCCUUGCUGUUCUGGGAGCUUCCAGGCCAGCUACUGAGUCCAGAUGAAUGAACUCGGAGUCACCAGACAACAAAACCCGACAAAACAUAACCUUGAAGCCUCAAGAAAGGGAUCGAAGAAGGACACUCAAUGAAACGAUUCCUGUAGCGUGGGCAGAUAAGGAGCACCUCACAUCCCCAGAGAGUACAGCAGCACUCACUUCAGCAGGCCUAAGACAGCAACUGUCUCCAUCUCCCCAGACCCUGCCAGCAUGGGGCCAGCACCUCCACAGGCUGGAAGCGGCUGUUCUCCAAGUGGCGAUGAAGACAGCUUUAAUGGGCUUACAGUCACGUGUCCCUCAAAGGCCAGCCCCCCUGGACGGCUGUUUGCAAACUCCUCUCCAAAGCUGCUUCCC